GUUCACUCACACAGACUUGGACCAGUAUGCCUCAUCUGUACUGGACCAUAUCUCCACCAAUAUGGACGUUGUUACCACCCAGAAGCCUUGGAUGAUUCGAUUUGAUUCGGAAUGUUUGUCAUCUGCUGAAUGUCCAUAACUUAGCCUUCAGGUGUACAGGCCAACAGUACAGCCAGGGCUGAGCAGAAGAGGGGCAUCAAAAAGGCCAAGCACUACUACAAAAGGAAGGUAGAAGAAUACUUCUCCGAAUCCAACCCCCGACGUAUGUGGGAAGGACUCCUGAUCAUCAAAGACUACAAGACCACUAACACCUUUCCCGCCUCCUCUGAUGUCUCCUUCCUCAAGGAGCUCAACAACUUUUAUGCUCGUUUUUAGAGAGGGAACCCAACAACUCCAGCUGAGUCAGAUGUGACUUCAGACCACUGACUCUCUACCCUAGCCUGGCCAGCCAGACUCAGUUUUGCUUUUUCCUUUGCUAUGCAGCGAACUGAGUCAGUAACUGCUCCCAUAGAGUCCUCUUUCCUGAUACCAACCAAUCACAGGCGUGGGCGGGCUUUAUAUUUUGAGUGACAUGAAGCGCCCGAGGAUCCCUCAGCCAAAACAAACAAGAUGGCUGCCACUACGGAGUGUUUGUUUGCACUCCGUAGUGGCAUUAAGUUUGCAGAUAACAUUACGGUGAUCGGUCUCAUCAAAGACAGCAAUGAGGCCGCCUACAGGGAGGAGGUGGAUUGUUUGGCUGAGUGGUGUGACACUAACAACCUGCUGCUCAACACAGAAAAGACCAAGGAGGUCAUUGUGGACUUCAGGAGGAAUGCCGACCCUACCCGCCCAUCUACAUCAAAGGAACGGCGGUGGAACAUGUAAAUAGCUUCAGGUUCCUCGGAGUUCACAUCUCUGAGGAUCUCACCUUGACAACCAGCUGUUCCCAGCUGGUCAAGAAAGCUCACCAGCGGCUCUUUUUUCUGAGGACUCUGAGGAUAAACCACAUGUUAUCAGACAUCCUUGUGAACUUCUACCACUACAACAUCGAAAACAUCAUAAUCAACUGCAUCAGCGUCUGGUACGGGAGCUGCUCUGCUUCGGACAGAGGGUGGUGAAAACCCGCCCAGCCUAUCACUGGAGCAGCACAUCCUGCCAUAGUGGACAUCUACAGGAAGUAGUAUCUGAAAAGGGUCUGGAAAAUCAUCAAAGACUCCAGUCACCCAGCACGUGGACUAUUCACUCUCCUGUAAUGUUUGUACGGACAGAGGGAACGCGGAGAGUAAUGAUGCCCUGGGAUCAGAAGUUGUGACCGACGUGUUUUGAUGACAUUUUCUGGCCAGCUGCACCACAAGUCUGAAUCCAAUCUUCCCAUAUCCAAAUGGAACUUCUUCGAGCAUAAAUUGUUGAUCCUGGCCUCGUAGAGUUGUCCAUCACAUCCAGA